rnacentral:rRNA from 1 species
GGUUAAGUUAAUAAGGGCGCACGGUGGAUGCCUUGGCACUAGGAGCCGACGAAGGACGUGACAAACGACGAUAUGCCUUGGGUAGCUGUAAGUAAGCGAUGAUCCAGGGAUUUCCGAAUGGGGGAACCCAACAGGUAAUACCUGUUACCCACAUCUGUUAAGGAUGUGAGGAGGAAGACGCAGUGAACUGAAACAUCUAAGUAGCUGCAGGAAGAGAAAGCAAAAGCGAUUGCCUUAGUAGCGGCGAGCGAAACGGCAGAAGGGCAAACCGAAGAGUUUACUCUUCGGGGUUGUAGGACUGCAAUGUGGACUCAAAGAUUAUAGAAGAAUGAUUUGGGAAGAUCAGCCAAAGAGAGUAAUAGCCUCGUAUUUAAAAUAGUCUUUGUACCUAGCAGUAUCCUGAGUACGGCGGGACACGUGAAAUCCCGUCGGAAUCUGGGAGGACCAUCUCCCAACCCUAAAUACUCCCUAGUGACCGAUAGUGAACCAGUACCGUGAGGGAAAGGUGAAAAGCACCCCGGGAGGGGAGUGAAAUAGAACCUGAAACCGUGUGCCUACAACAAGUUCGAGCCCGUUAAUGGGUGAGAGCGUGCCUUUUGUAGAAUGAACCGGCGAGUUACGUUAUGAUGCGAGGUUAAGUUGAAGAGACGGAGCCGUAGGGAAACCGAGUCUGAAUAGGGCGCCUUAGUAUCAUGACGUAGACCCGAAACCAUGUGACCUACCCAUGAGCAGGUUGAAGGUGCGGUAAGACGCACUGGAGGACCGAACCAGGGCACGUUGAAAAGUGCUUGGAUGACUUGUGGGUAGCGGAGAAAUUCCAAACGAACUUGGAGAUAGCUGGUUCUCUCCGAAAUAGCUUUAGGGCUAGCGUCGACAUUAGAGAUUCUUGGAGGUAGAGCACUGUUUGGGUGAGGGGUCCAUCCCGGAUUACCAAUCUCAGAUAAACUCCGAAUGCCAAUGAAUUAUGGUCGGCAGUCAGACUGCGAGUGCUAAGAUCCGUAGUCGAAAGGGAAACAGCCCAGACCACCAGCUAAGGUCCCAAAAUAAUUGUUAAGUGGAAAAGGAUGUGGGGUUGCACAGACAACUAGGAUGUUAGCUUAGAAGCAGCUAUUCAUUCAAAGAGUGCGUAAUAGCUCACUAGUCGAGUGACCCUGCGCCGAAAAUGUACCGGGGCUAAAACAAUUUACCGAAGCUGUGGAUACCUUUAUAGGUAUGGUAGGAGAGCGUUCUAUGUGUGAUGAAGGUAUACCGUGAGGAGUGCUGGAACGCAUAGAAGUGAGAAUGCCGGUAUGAGUAGCGAAAGACAGGUGAGAAUCCUGUCCACCGUAAGACUAAGGUUUCCAGGGGAAGGCUCGUCCGCCCUGGGUUAGUCGGGACCUAAGGAGAGACCGAAAGGUGUAUCCGAUGGACAACAGGUUGAUAUUCCUGUACUAGAGUAUGUAGUGAUGGAGGGACGCAGUAGGCUAACUAAAGCAGACGAUUGGAAGAGUCUGUCUAAGCAGUGAGGUGUGAAUUGAGUCAAAUGCUUAAUUCUAUAACAUUGAGCUGUGAUGGGGAGCGAAGUUUAGUAGCGAAGUUAGUGACGUCACACUGCCAAGAAAAGCUUCUAGCGUUUAAACAUACUCUACCCGUACCGCAAACCGACACAGGUAGUCGAGGCGAGUAGCCUCAGGUGAGCGAGAGAACUCUCGUUAAGGAACUCGGCAAAAUGACCCCGUAACUUCGGGAGAAGGGGUGCUGACUUUAAGUCAGCCGCAGUGAAUAGGCCCAAGCAACUGUUUAUCAAAAACACAGCUCUCUGCUAAAUCGUAAGAUGAUGUAUAGGGGGUGACGCCUGCCCGGUGCUGGAAGGUUAAGAGGAGUGCUUAGCGUAAGCGAAGGUAUGAAUUGAAGCCCCAGUAAACGGCGGCCGUAACUAUAACGGUCCUAAGGUAGCGAAAUUCCUUGUCGGGUAAGUUCCGACCCGCACGAAAGGCGUAAUGAUUUGGGCACUGUCUCAACGAGAGACUCGGUGAAAUUUUAGUACCUGUGAAGAUGCAGGUUACCCGCGACAGGACGGAAAGACCCCAUGGAGCUUUACUGCAGUUUGAUAUUGAGUGUCUGUACCACAUGUACAGGAUAGGUAGGAGUCUAAGAGAUCGGGACGCCAGUUUCGAAGGAGACGCUGUUGGGAUACUACCCUUGUGUUAUGGCCACUCUAACCCAGAUAGGUGAUCCCUAUCGGAGACAGUGUCUGACGGGCAGUUUGACUGGGGCGGUCGCCUCCUAAAAGGUAACGGAGGCGCCCAAAGGUUCCCUCAGAAUGGUUGGAAAUCAUUCGCAGAGUGUAAAGGUAUAAGGGAGCUUGACUGCGAGAGCUACAACUCGAGCAGGGACGAAAGUCGGGCUUAGUGAUCCGGUGGUUCCGUAUG